UUGAAUGUGUAUAAAAUCUAAAGGGAAGUAGAAUAAGCAAUUAGCUUCGUGACUUUUAUCGCUCGGACGAUAGUUUAUAACUCAACAGUCUUAGUUGUAUUUUUUUUUUGUUAUGUGUCUCAUAUGUACCAAUCUGAUGAAGAGGGGGAGCUCCUAAGAAAUUGCUUUGUCCGAAUUUUUUACUGUUUAGUUCUCUUUGAUUGAUGAAUUUG
rnacentral:lncRNA from 1 species